GGCUGGGCAAUAUAGAGACGGGGUCUCGCUAUGUUGCCCAGGCUGGAGUGCAGUGGCUAUUCACAGGCACGAUCCCACUAAUGAUCAGCACGGGAGCUUUGACCUGCUCUGUCUCCGACCUGGGCCGGUUCAUCCCUCCUUAGGCAACCUGGUGGCCCCCCGCUCCCGGGAGGUCACCAUAUUGAUGCCGAACUUAGUGCGGACACCCGAUCGG